GUAGGGGUGCGAGCGUUGUCCGGAAUUAUUGGGCGUAAAGAGCUUGUAGGCGGUUUGUCGCGUCUGCUGUGAAAAUCCGGGGGCUCAACCCCGGACUUGCAGUGGGUACGGGCAGACUAGAGUGUGUAGGGGAGACUGGAAUUCCUGGUGUAGCGGUGAAAUGCGCAGAUAUCAGGAGGAACACCGAUGGCGAAGGCAGGUCUCUGGGCCACUACUGACGCUGAGAAGCGAAAGCAUGGGGAGCGAACAGGAUUAGAUACCCUGGUAGUCCAUGCCGUAAACGUUGGGAACUAGGUGUGGGUCUCAUUCCACGAGGUCCGUGCCGCAGCUAACGCAUUAAGUUCCCCGCCUGGGGAGUACGGCCGCAAAGGCUA
rnacentral:rRNA from 1 species